GAUUAUAUGCAUCUCAUGCUAUAGCCGCUGUUAUGAAAUGGCAUCAUGAGCACAUGCAAGAGGAGGCGUAAUGCGUCAUCCAUCAGACUCUAAGGCUUGGAAGCACUUCAAUGAACCUCAUCCCCUUUUAUUGCUGAACCAAGAAAUGUGAGGUUGGGAUUAUGUACUGAUGGUUUUCAGCCCUUUGGUCAUUCAGGGAGGAAAUACUCUUCAUGGCCAGUGAUUGUCACUCCAUGCAAUUUGCCUCCACGGAUGUGUAUGAAAGAGGCAUACAUGUUCUUAACUAUCAUUGUUCUAGGGUCAAACAACCCUAAACAAUAAAUUGAUGUUUAUCUACAAAAUUUAAUAAAAGGAAUUGACCUUGUUGUGGGAGAUGGGUUAGAAGCAUUUGACAUCUCAAAAAAUAAAAUUUUCAAUUAAAGGCUGCUUUGAUGUGGACAAUCAAUGACUUUUCAGCAUAUUCUAGGUUAUCUGGAUAGAGUACUACCGUAACUUAGCAUGUCCCUAUUGUAUGGAGGAAGCACAAUCCUUCAGAUCAUGUCACGGUGGGAAAAUAACUUGGUUUGAUAGUCAUAGAAUGUUUCUUGACCAAAAUCAUCCGUUUAGGAGAGACCGUAAAAACUUUCGUAAAGAUCAGACUGUUAGAAGGCUGCCACCACCCCUUAGUACAGGAAAGGAAAUCUUGAACCAAAUUUGUGAGUUGGGACUAAGGAAAGUUACUGAGCUAGAUGCAGAAGAAGUUAAUGAGAGAAUUUCUAGGUGUUGUGGAUGGAAAAAGAGAAGCAUCUUUUGGGAUUUGCCUUAUUGGAGCUCUAACAUGAUGUGACAUAAUCUCAAUGUCAUGCAUAUUGAGAAAAAUGUCUUUGAUAAUGUAUUUAACACAGUUCUUAGUAUUGAUGGCAAAACAAAAGACAAUCCAAAGGCACGUGAAGAUAUGGUAAACUAUUGCGGUCGACCGCAAUUGGCAAAGAAUCCUAUUGAUGAAAGCUAUCCAAAAGCUGCAUAUACAAUAUAGAAGAAUAAAAAAAUUGCCUUGUUCAAUUGGUUGGAAAAUGUGAAGUUUCCGGAUGGGUAUGUUUCGAAUUUGAGUCGGUGCCUAGACACGGACAAGUAUAAAUUAUUUAGUAUAAAAAGUCAUGAUUUUCAUGUGUUUACGCAACGAUUAAUGCCUAUUGCCUUUCGUGAGCUACUUCCUAGUAACGUGUGGCAAGCACUUACGGAAUUGAGCUUAUGUUUUAAGGAUCUCACCUCGGUUGUUCUUCGAGUAGUGGACAUGGAGAGAUUAGAGGCAGACGUCCCACAGAUCUUGUGUAAGUUGGAGCGUAUAUUUUCUCCUGGAUUCUUUAACUCAAUGGUACCUCGACUGCUCUUCGAGUGGUGGACAAGGAGAGAUUAGAGGCAGAUAUCCCAAAGAUCUUGUGUAAGUUAGAGCGUAUAUUUCCUCCUGGAUUCUUUAACUCAAUGGAACAUGUGCCUGUAUACCUGCCAUAUGAAGCAAGGAUUUCUGGACAUGUACAAUAUAGAUAGAUGUAUCCUUUUGAGAGGUUAUAAACUUUUUAUGCUCUUAUUAUGACAAG
rnacentral:lncRNA from 1 species